CACAUUCAAUGCAUCCCAUACAUACACAGAAACACACCUUGCAGCCCUUACACAUACAAACACAAUUUCACACAAUGCAUUCCUUACACACAUAUCAGGACAUCCCUUACACACUCCACCCCCUGUGAACAAACUCAUUGGUGGAACAUGAAGGUGGACCCUGGGACCCAGACCUUGAGCUGUGUAAAGGACCCCCCAAAAAUGGAGCUGCUUCCCGUUCUCCCAGAACAUUGAUUUUUGUGACCACAGUUACAAACCGCCUCCAGAGAGCCUGUUCUGCACCAGACCAGUGGAGCCAGACUGCAGCUAGAGCCCAUCAUCAUCCUCAUCUGGUUGUAAGUAGG